rnacentral:rRNA from 1 species
GACGAACGCUGGCGGCGUGCCUAAUACAUGCAAGUCGAGCGAAGUUUUUCUGGUGCUUGCACUAGAAAAACUUAGCGGCGAACGGGUGAGUAACACGUAAAGAACCUGCCUCAUAGACUGGGACAACUAUUGGAAACGAUAGCUAAUACCGGAUAACAGUAUUUCUCGCAUGACAGAUAUUUAAAAGUUGGUUAUGCUAACACUAUGAGAUGGCUUUGCGGUGCAUUAGCUAGUUGGUGGGGUAAAGGCCCACCAAGGCGACGAUGCAUAGCCGACCUGAGAGGGUGAUCGGCCACACUGGGACUGAGACACGGCCCAGACUCCUACGGGAGGCAGCAGUAGGGAAUCUUCGGCAAUGGGCGAAAGCCUGACGGAGCAACGCCGCGUGAGUGAAGAAGGAUUUCGGUUCGUAAAGCUCUGUUGUUAGGGAAGAAUGGAUAUGUAGUAACUAUACAUGUAAGAGACGGUACCUAACCAGAAAGCCACGGCUAACUACGUG